AACUAAUGGCAGUGCUUUCUGCUUGAAGACGGUGUGACAGCGUCUCGCUUAUUUCUUUCGUAAAAUCAUUUCAUAUUUAGUUUAUUGCACUUUUAUUCUUAGUCUUAAAAUGGAAAAGGAUUCCCUGUUGUUUUUUUUUCUUUUUGAAAUUUGUGAAACAAAAAUGUUGGGAAUUGGAACAAGUGAAUCAAUAACUAUUCCCAGAAAUUUCAAAGCUAAGUUGCAGAAAGAAAAACUCAAGUUCGUCGAAAAAGCAAGAAAUUGGUGUGAGUUGGCCUAUUGAAGGUUGUGAAUUGUCAAGUCGACCAAAGAGAGGCAUCAGUACAUCUGAAGAGAAUUAUAGCACGACAACUAUGAAAGUAAUCAUUCUCAACUUCAGUGUUAAUAUGCCAAGGAAGUCAUCGAGGAAAUACAAACUCAAGUAAUCAACAAGAAAAAGCCACGAGCCAAGUCAGCUGUGACAAAUUCUUAUAGGUCUAAUGCAGGCAAGUUCCAAGCUGAGGCACCAAAAGCUUUAUCGUGCAAAGAUUUUAAUGUUGCCUCAAAAACCAGUGUCCAAGAACAUUUGCCUUACAUCAAUGCAACAAAUCAUGAAUCGUGAUUUGAUGGCCACUCAUUCUCUUUCAGGAAAGAAAAGCCCCAGCACUGACAAGUCUAAGGAAAAUAAUUUCUGCUGAAAAUGGCGUCCGUCAGGAUGAUGAUGAAUCGGUUGCUUAAACAAAGCAAUCAUUAAUUCAAACUAUCAUUAAUGAAUGAUUGCUUUGAAUCGGUUUCAAAGCAAUCAGUGCUUAAACAAAAAAACGUUAAGCCAUAUUCAGCGCAACCCCUUAAAUGCUUAUAUAUUCUUAGUGUCGGAUUGAUUUUUUUAUUUUGUUUUUUUAUAUCCUGUCACUUGUGUACAAGUUAUCUUGUAUAAAAUA